GUAGGAUUUAUAGAAACUAUCCAUUAAUUUUAAUUAUUUAUUUUCCAUUAUAAAAUUUUGGUGCAUACUUUUCUAACAUUUAAAUGAUAUGAAAUCAUAUUACAUAUAUUUACAUGAUAUUUCCCUUGUCAAACAUAAAUUUAAUGUUUUAUGUUUUAUCGCUUUUUAUAAAUGGAAAAUAUAAUUACAUCACAAACCAUACAUUUAAAUAAAGAAAAGUAUAAAUUAAAUACUCUUACAUGCCAAAUUUGAAAUUAUAUUAUAUUCCACUAUAAAAUUUAGGUUUAAUUUUCCUCUUUUUAUAUUUUUUAAAAAUUUGAAUGUUUAAUAAAUUUAGUAAUAAUUUAUAUACCAAACAAAUAUGUUCAAUUUACAAUAAACGUAUAUUUUAUUUCUCUAAUGAUAAACUUCAUUUUAAAUGGAAAGUUUAGUGGAUUUGUGUUUAUUUUGUAACAUAAACGAUAUAAGAAGUUUCAAAUUUUUUUUUGUAUUGGUGAACAACUAUAUUAAUCUAA
rnacentral:lncRNA from 1 species